GAUGAACGCUGGCGGUAUGCUUAACACAUGCAAGUCGAACGCAGACUUUCGGGUCUGAGUGGCGGACGGGUGCGUAACGCGGGAGAAUCUGGCUGCAGGUUGGGGACAACCACGGGUAACGUUGGCUAAUACCCAAUGUGCCGUUAAGGGUAAAGAUUAAUGGCCUGAAGAUUCGGUCGCGUAAGAUUUGCUAGAUGGUGGGGUAAGAGCUCACCAAGGCGACGAUAAGUAGCAGAUCUGAAAGGACGAUCGGCCACGCUGCUACUGAGACGCAGCACAGGGGCAUACUGGAGGAAGCGGGAGAGAAUGAUCCAGCAUGGCCGAGAGCGUGACGAAGCACUACCGCGUGUGAAACGAAGGCACUUGGGAUGAAAACCUGUUUUCUCAGAGAAGAAGGCAAUGACGGUACCUGAGGAAUAAGCAUCGGCUAACUCCGUG
rnacentral:rRNA from 1 species